rnacentral:tRNA from 1 species
GGGGCAGUAGCUCAGAGGGAGAGCGUCUCUAUGGCAUGGAGAAGGUCGCGGGUUCGAAUCCCGUCUGCUCCACCA